rnacentral:miRNA from 1 species
UGUGUGUUUAUGUGUGUGUGUAUGUGUGCUCACACACACACACACACACACACACACACA